ACGAGGACUAGUUUACCCAGGGCCACGGCACGAUCAACAACUACCUCAUUCCUGUUUACCGGUUUUGUUAGAAGAAAGGUCUUUUAAAAAAGGAAUAAAUAUAUAUGUUGUAUGGGGACUGUUAUGUGACUAUGUGACGAGCAAGACGAGCCAUUAUUGACCUCGCCAUCAACACCCAAGAGACAAUCUUGCGACUGUUGCUUGAAAAUGGAAAUGCCAAGAACUUCCUGAACCUCUUAGGAAAUGGAAGUGUAGUUCAGAGGGUGCGCGUUUGUGAAGUACGGCUCCCACACGGAGGCCCAGGCCGCCAUUAACACCUUGCACGGGAGCCAGACAAUGCCGGUAAGUCGAACUGGUGCAUCUUCGAGUCUGGUGGUGAAGUUUGCUGAUACGGAGAAAGAAAGGCAGCUGCGACGCAUGCAACAAAUGGCCGGAAACAUGGGUCUCCUCAACCCUUUUGUCUUUAAUCAGUUUGGCGCCUAUGGGGCCUAUGCUCAAGUAAAUGUGUCAGAGCAGCAGUUCAUGCAGCAGCAGGCAGCGCUGAUGGCUGCUGCCUCACAGGGAACCUACAUCAAUCCAAUGGCAGCCCUUGCUACUCAGAUGCCCCAUGCUGCUGCACCCUUGGCCAAUGGAAUUACCAGCCCAGUCGUCCCGCCCACUUCCGCAUCUGUGCCACUGGUGUGGGACAUACAGAGUUCAAAAGUUGGUGCCAGUCAAGCUCAGCCCGUAAACGGCGCAUUGCCCUCCAUGCCUUCCCCUACGAUGCAGAAUUUCAAUAUAGCUCCUCAGCCAGGGCCAAAUAGCCAGCCAGGCGGGAGCGAGGGGGCUGUGUUUGCCAAUGGCCUCCCUCAAACCUUUGCUGCACCCCAGCCUAUCCCUAAUGGUGAAGCAGCCACACUGCAGCCUUCAGCAGCCUACCCAGGCAUGCCUUACUCCGGUGUUGCUGUGUAUCCUGCGCCCGUGUACGGCCAGUACGCCCAGGCGCCCUCGCCCCAGCUGGCGCCCAUACCCCACAACAAGGUUGAAGGUUUGUCGGUUGGUGUGUGUAUCCUUCACAUCUGCUCCAGAACUGGCUUGGAAGGCUGGGGGAGACCUGGAGCUCCUGCUCCCCCCCUACUAGAGGGGGGCUGUUCAAUCUCGGGACCUGAGGGCUGCAACCUUUUCAUCUACCACCUGCCGCAGGAGUUCGGUGAUGCUGAACUGAUGCAGAUGUUCCUUCCUUUUGGAAAUGUGAUCUCCUCCAAGGUGUUCAUUGACAGAGCUACUAACCAGAGCAAGUGUUUCGGUUUCGUAAGCUUCGACAACCCUGCCUCAGCACAGGCUGCUAUCCAGGCGAUGAAUGGCUUCCAGAUUGGCAUGAAGCGCCUAAAGGUUCAACUCAAGCGACCCAAGGAUGCUAAUAGACCCUACUAACGGCCGCACUCAGUAGGGAAGACCAGGAAUGGUGGCAUCUGUCUUCUUCUUCUUCUUGAUAAUACAUGCAGUUUGCUUGAAGGUUCUUCUCCUCUCGGUGACUGCACUAGUGGUUGUUGGGUGACGGGUCACAGUGGUGCAUCACUAUUGACAGUUAGAGGUAUCUGAUUGUGAAGCUGUUCUUGAAGAAGAUGGCUCUGUGUUUAUCAUAGCUUGAAUAUGACAUUUGUAUGAAGUAUUAGGAAUCCAAAGCCUAGGUUGUAAGUAAAAGUAGUGAAGAAAAUACUUGAAAAAUAUAACUUCCUCUGCAAGAUGAACAUUAUUCCCAUAUUUCUAUACUACAAGUGCUACAUAUACGAGUCCAGAGAGCUUGAGUUGCUACACAGGCUGCGGGAGGCCUCAGAGGUGGCAAGAGACGGUUACUAAAAAAAAAGAUAAUUUUUUUCAAGAGGUUGAAGGAAGUCCACAAUUGAGGCCUGUGCUACUGUGUACACAAACUGUAUAUAUGCUGUACCGAGUUAUUGCACGGUACCAAAAAAAAAAAAAAAAAGGAUUUGGGACUAAAGGUCCCUCUCCUCUCACAUGUUGAUAGCCAUGUUAUUACUGAGAGUAUGGAAACAAUAUUUUUAAUAUUAAUAAGCCUUCUGUUAAAGUUAUAUUACGUAUCAUAAUAUUUCAACUAUAUCAUAUUGUUAAGAAUAGUAGUAUACUUAAGACGUGCUCUAUCAGCUCUGCGCCAUUUUGUGCGAGUUGGCCGGGUGAUGUGGAUCUCCCAGCACCGGAUGUGUCCUAACCCGCCCCGCUGACGGGUUGCUCCUUCAGGGUACUAAGUGUUGCGUGUCUCGUGUCUGUUGCCUCACGCCCUGCGCUGUGCCCGGGCGCCCACGCAGCUGCCACCCCCUUGGCUGUCGUCUUAUGGCUCAGUAAAUGCCCAUGUUUUUACCUGGUAGUCUGUGGGUGUACUGUCCACAAGUGCUUAGCUUCAAACUGGGCCGCUGUAGCAGUGAUGCCACGUGCACUGGUGCUCCUCACGCCAUUUUGCGUGCCGUGUGGCCGGGCGGGGCACGACCCAACCUACCAGACCAGGGCGCUAAGGUCUCUUCCCAGCUCCACAGUUGGACAACCAAAGUGAUGGCCUCAAAGGGUUUAGAGGCCCCUAGUCUAGUGUCAAACUAGAGGAUUAGCUUCUCUAUACCUGUAGAUGCCUAUAGAUAUAUAGAUUAAAGCGCUAGAUAGCUUUCAAGUAUAGAGGAAGUCUCAUAAAGACACAGUGUAUAUAUGCUGAAGGUAACUUGGUAGGACUAUUGACCCUGCAUUUGAUCAUAUGUACAGUGGAUAGCAUAUUCACUAGACUAAGGGUACCAACGCUUAUCUCCAGUCAAUUUUAUAUCAUGAUAUAUUUUUAAAUCAUUUGUAUCCAAUGGUUUAAUAAGAUUUGUGCAUUUCUUUGUGGCUUAGAUUUUUAGACAUCUGUAUGUUUGUCAGAUCAAAGUGGCAUUAUUUUCUAGUCAAGGUGUACUUGUUAUUUUUUUAAAAAGAUUACAAUUUUUGCAGCGAUCUUUCAUCUAUGAUCUCAGACAUUCCAUCUAGUCAUUAUUAUUGUUUUAACCACCUUCUUGGGGAACAUAAUUCCCUUACCCCUCCCAUUUUUAAUAUACUGUAUGUCAUCCACAUAACUUUUGAACCAUUGACAGAAAUGUGCCAAGAGAGUUCAAGAUGAUUUCUCCAUUACCUGGUCUAUUUUAUUUGUUUCAUAUAUUUACAUGUUAUACACCCUUGUGGUUUAGGAGUAAGAAUUACUGAUUUCUGAAAGAAUGAAGCUGUUUCUCUGACAUAGCAUAUCUAGUCCAAUAUGUACAUACGCACCACAGUCACGCUGCAUUAUGUUAAGGCUGCUGUGUGGAAGAGACUGCAUUUAUUUGGAUGUUUACUAGACUGUCUGCUUUUGAUAGAUGGAUUGUAACUAACAGCAAAGUUCCAGUGCCAUAAAACUAAGACUGGGAUCAAGGAGUAUGUUCUAUAAACAUAGUAAGAAUAUGAUUUUCUUACUAUAAUAUAAUUAUCAUCAUCAGCAUGAUGAUAAUGACUGAAAUUCUGAAUACGAGUAUAGAUGAUUUAGAAGUACUGUAUGGUGUAAUAGGAAAAAACAAUCUUUCCCACAGCAGGCUAAUGUAAUCAGUCUGCGCCAUUGUAAUAUUACAUAGGCCCUAUUGCCUUGCUCAUGUUGGCAUCUUGUUUAAAAUUGAGAUUAGGAUUUGUGUCAUGCUUAAUGUAGCAUCUCAGAAUGUUUCAAAAGAAAAUUCUUUACAUUGUAAACAAGAUGACAAUAAAUGAGUACAACAGGGAUAUUAUUAAGGAUUGUAAGGAGAUAGCCACACCAAAGAAAUAAGAGAAAAAUACUUAAAGAAUAGUUUUAGUACAUCACGUUUAGAAACUGCGUAGCAUAUAAUUUAUUAUCAUUUAUUUAUUUAUUGCUUAUAAUUUAUUAAUACAAUUGCCUAAAAGAGAGUGUAAUCUACAAUGGUUAGUUUCAAGGCAGUAUGAAAUCUAGUCGUUUUGGGACCAAUUUAAGUGUCUUUUGGUCAAUUCGUGUAAUAUGGUGUCGUUCAGUAACGUGUUGUAUUCGUUUGAAACUUCCAAUCCAUUUUUGAGGUAUGUUUAUAAAGGCCUUGGACUAUCAUAAGAUACACUCUCUAGUAUAUUGCUAAUACUUAGCCCCUAUAAAUUUUAAGGAUAUUGGUAAAUGCCUGCAUAUUAUAGAGUAUUCAUUUUCAUAUUAAUGGAGGAUAUCAGGAGGCCUAUACCUGCUACUAUGAGUUGAUUUUUCAGCAAAAUGUCAGGCAUGUUGAUGAGAUAUAAUGGUAAAUUUUCUGGACAAGCAUCUCAAUGGCUCAGGAGCUGAGAAUACUUGUGCGUCAUAUAGAAAUUAUGAAUAUGUGUGGACUCGUUUCCACCAGAAUGGUAUAAAGUGUUUCCAGUGAAGACGGCUGGUGACCUUUGAUGAUGACUGCCUUUGGUGACUUGUAUAACAAGUGGUUAGCAGGGCCCCAGCAUAUCAGUGUUGCGUCUCCUUUGGCCUUGCCCGGUCCUUGACCCUGGUCCUGGCGGAACUGGCUGCCUGCACGGUCUCUCGUCUUGCGCCUUGCCUUCACUGACCCCACCCCGUGCCAGGAGCCGGCAGGCCCCUUUCUGCCGGCCACAUUGCCCCCGCCUGUCGGCCACGUCUGUCCCUUCUGCAUCGCUGCAGCCCACCUUUCCUCAUCACCCUUGCCGAUAGACGGACCUUAAAGUAGGAGGCCGUGACACAGGUUAUGGGAACGAGAGUGCGCUGCCCCAUGGUGUACACCAGGGCAGGAUGGGCGGACGGGGGCGAGGGCAAGGCUGGACCUGGCGCGCCGCUUGUGUCUAACACAGCGCCUGCCCCUGGCCUCCUCCAUGCCAUAUCUCACCACAAGUCGCGGGACUCACCCCUCCAGGGGACGCCGGGUCCUGUUAAGCUAUAUGGUUGUUCAUCAAGAUGGCAAGCUCUGUAAGCUUUUAUAUUGUAAUUUUCUAGACCCCAGAUUCUUCUCCUUCCAAGAGAAUUUAAUAGCAUGGUAAAAGUAGUUAACCAUUUGAAGUAGUUUGAUAGGAGCAUAAUUUAUAUCUGAUUUGCCAUAGUUAAGAGUAGAUGGCUUGAUCUGGCCUAAGGUGCCAUGGGAUAGCCAGUAUCCUUAAUUAUCCACAGACUCACGAGUCACUUAAACCUGGUGUGAGUUGUGCUGGACAAGCUUGUGUCCCACCACCAGCUCUACUCCAUUAUUGCCAAAACCAUAGCCAGGAGUUGCUGGCACAAAUGGCCUGGGCAAGAUUUCCAUCAAAUAUACCAGAUCAGCUAGGACAGGGCCUUGUGGUACACACUCCAGUUGAACUUUGGCAUUAAGCCCAGCAUUUGUGAGCUUUGUGUAUAAAAUUUGUAUGGAAAACUUUUUUAGAUUUGUAUGAAAAUUCAGUACAUAUUUGUGAUCUUUAAAUAACCUUGAGUUAAUAAACACUGUCAUGCUGGCUAUGCCUUUACAUGGCAACAUGUAGUUAAUUUUAAAUAUAUAUAUGUUAAAUAUUAAUUUCACAUAGCUUUAACGUAUAUGAAUUUUUAAAGCCAUACAUUUGCAACAAAUUGUAUAUUUUAUUAGGUAUUACAUUAUUUAAGUGUAACCUAUAUGACAGGGACAAUUGAACCUCCUUUUAAAUUGUUGCUAAGUGCACAAAUAUAUACAUUUGAUUGUUAAAAUGCACACAAUAUUUAAUUGAAAAUUUAACAUUUGAUUGUAUUUUACUCUCAAAUAAAUAAUACAUGAAAGAAUUGUAAAGUAUCACAAGUAGAGAGAAUUUAGGUUGUUCAAGAGGUUUAGAUACACCCUCAAUGGUCGAUUGUGAGUGUGUAGCACUCUUGCCCUUGUAAAAGUGAUACUUUGUAAUGAAAUAAAGAUCCAAUAUA